rnacentral:rRNA from 1 species
UACGAAGGGGGCUAACGUUGUUCGGAAUUACUGGGAGUAAAGCGCACGUAGGCGGAUUAGUAAGUCAGGGGUGAAAUCCCGGGGCUCAACCUCGGAACUGCCUUUGAUACUGCUGAUCUCGAGUCCGGAAGAGGUGAGUGGAAUUCCUAGUGUAGAGGUGAAAUUCGUAGAUAUUAGGAAGAACACAAGUGGCGAAGGCGGCUCACUGGUCCGGUACUGACGCUGAGGUGCGAAAGCGUGGGGAGCAAACAGG